AUGUUCUCUGUAGCUCUGCUGCUGCUGCUGCUGGCGGCUGGAUCCUGUGUGAAGUGUGAACAGCUGACACAGCCAGCCUCUGUGACUGUGCAGCCAGGUCAACGUCUGACCAUCAGCUGUCAGGUCUCUUAUGAUCUGAGCUACUACACAGCUUGGAUCAGACAGCCUGCAGGGAAAGGACUGGAGUGGAUUGGGAUGAAAGACAGCUAUGGAGCCUCAUACUACAAAGAUUCCCUGAAGAACAAGUGUGAAGUGUGAACAGCUGACACAGCCAGCCUCUGUGACUGUGCAGCCAGGUCAACGUCUGGCCAUCAGCUGUCAGGUCUCUU